rnacentral:rRNA from 1 species
ACGGGAGGCAGCAGUGGGGAAUAUUGCACAAUGGGGGAAACCCUGAUGCAGCGACGCCGCGUGAGUGAAGAAGUAUUUCGGUAUGUAAAGCUCUAUCAGCAGGGAAGAAAAUGACGGUACCUGACUAAGAAGCCCCGGCUAACUACGUGCCAGCAGCCGCGGUAAUACGUAGGGGGCAAGCGUUAUCCGGAUUUACUGGGUGUAAAGGGAGCGUAGGUGGUUUGGCAAGUCAGAAGUGAAAACCCAAGGCUUAACCAUGGGAUUGCUUUUGAAACUGCUGGGCUGGAGUGCUGGAGAGGUAAGUGGAAUUCCUAGUGUAGCGGUGAAAUGCGUAGAUAUUAGGAGGAACACCGGUGGCGAAGGCGGCUUACUGGACAGUAACUGACACUGAGGCUCGAAAGCGUGGGGAGCAAACAGGAUUAGAUACCCUGGUA